AAAGUCGUAACAAGGUUUCCGUAGGUGAACCUGCGGAAGGAUCAUUAGAAUCUUUUCUUGGGGGGAAGGGAUGCGCACCCUUUCACUCUCGAAUCUAGGGGGGAGGGGCUACGGCCUGCCCCCCGCCAACCCCAAACCAAACUGUGAAAACUCCUUAAAACUGUUAAACUUCAAUCUUGUAAACUGUAAAUGUCUGAAAUGUAUGGAAAACAAGUUAAAACUUUCAACAACGGAUCUCUUGGUUCUC
rnacentral:misc_RNA from 1 species